UACGUAGGGGGCGAGCGUUGUCCGGAUUUAUUGGGCGUAAAGAGCUCGUAGGCGGUUGGGUAAGUCGGGUGUGAAAACUCAGGGCUCAACUCUGAGACGCCACUCGAUACUGCCCUGACUCGAGUCCGGUAGGGGAGCGUGGAAUUCCACGUGUAGCGGUGAAAUGCGUAGAGAUGUGGAGGAACACCAGUGGCGAAGGCGACUCUUUGGCCUGUAACUGACACUGAGGCGCGAAAGCGUGGGGAGCAAACAGG
rnacentral:rRNA from 1 species